UCCUUGUCGGGUAAGUUCCGACCUGCACGAAUGGCGUAACGACUUCCCCACUGUCUCCAGCACAGGCUCAGCGAAAUUGAAUUCCCCGUGAAGAUGCGGGGUUCCUGCGGUCAGACGGAAAGACCCCGUGCACCUUUACUGCAGCUUCAGAGUGGCAUUAGGAAAGAACUGUGUAGCAUAGGUGGGAGGCUUUGAAGCGACGGCGCCAGCUGUCGCGGAG
rnacentral:rRNA from 12 species